CGGCGAGUGAAGCGGCAACAGCUCAAAUUUGAAAUCUGGCUCUCGGGCCCGAGUUGUAAUUUGUAGAGGAUACUUUUGAUGCGGUGCCUUCCGAGUUCCCUGGAACGGGACGCCAUAGAGGGUGAGAGCCCCGUCUGGUUGGAUGCCAAAUCUCUGUAAAGUUCCUUCGACGAGUCGAGUAGUUUGGGAAUGCUGCUCUAAAUGGGAGGUAUAUGUCUUCUAAAGCUAAAUACCGGCCAGAGACCGAUAGCGCACAAGUAGAGUGAUCGAAAGAUGAAAAGCACUUUGAAAAGAGAGUUAAAAAGUACGUGAAAUUGUUGAAAGGGAAGCGUUUAUGACCAGACUUGGGCUUGGUUAAUCAUCUGGGGUUCUCCCCAGUGCACUUUUCCAGUCCAGGCCAGCAUCAGUUUUCCCCGGGGGAUAAAGACUUCGGGAAUGUGGCUCUCUUCGGGGAGUGUUAUAGCCCGUUGUGUAAUACCCUGGGGGGGACUGAGGUUCGCGCAUCUGCAAGGAUGCUGGCGUAAUGGUCAUCAACGACCCGUCUUGAAACACGGACCAAGGAGUCGUCUUCGUAUGCGAGUGUUCGGGUGUCAAACCCCUACGCGUAAUGAAAGUGAACGCAGGUGAGAGCUUCGGCGCAUCAUCGACCGAUCCUGAUGUUCUCGGAUGGAUUUGAGUAAGAGCAUACGGGGCCGGACCCGAAAGAAGGUGAACUAUGCCUGUAUAGGGUGAAGCCAGAGGAAACUCUGGUGGAGGCUCGCAGCGGUUCUGACGUGCAAAUCGAUCGUCAAAUAUGGGCAUGGGGGCGAAAGACUAAUCGAACCUUCUAGUAGCUGGUUUCCGCCGAAGUUUCCCUCAGGAUAGCAGUGUUGAACUCAGUUUUAUGAGGUAAAGCGAAUGAUUAGGGACUCGGGGGCGCUAUUUAGCCUUCAUCCAUUCUCAAACUUUAAAUAUGUAAGAAGCUCUUGUUGCUUAAUUGAACGUGAGCAUUCGAAUGUAUCAACACUAGUGGGCCAUUUUUGGUAAGCAGAACUGGCGAUGCGGGAUGAACCGAACGCGAGGUUAAGGUGCCAGAGUAGACGCUCAUCAGACACCACAAAAGGUGUUAGUACAUCUUGACAGCAGGACGGUGGCCAUGGAAGUCGGAAUCCGCUAAGGACUGUGUAACAACUCACCUGCCGAAUGUACUAGCCCUGAAAAUGGAUGGCGCUCAAGCGUCUCACCCAUACCUCGCCCUCAGGGUAGAAACGAUGCCCUGAGGAGUAGGCGGACGUGGAGGUCAGUGACGAA
rnacentral:rRNA from 1 species